ACUAUUUCUAAGAUAUACAGAUAUAGAAAUAGUACGAGUAGUGCACAAGCUGCUGGCAGAGUGUGACAGCAGCUUGAAAAAAUCCCGCCUGUCACGUGAAGUCGUGGGUUGCCAAGUAAAGUGAUUAAGCUAAACAGCAGACUCACGUAAAAUGGAAAACAGCGCGUGUUUACGUAUCAGUGGAGUAGAGACUCGUUCCAGGUAAACACAGACACACUGGAAGAUAAUGACAAACAACUAUGCCGAUUAGUAAUGAUGGCAUUUUGCAGAGUGUGUGUAUUAUUAUAAAGAACGAACAUGGCAACACUAGCCGGCUGACUUGACGUCAUGUAUCCCCCCCAAACCCCCGAAUGAAAGAGAUGCGCGGUGAAGUUUUUCGGGAAAGCAAACAAAGUGUAUAAAGAUGAACACACUGGUCGCCGCACCUAAUUCUACUCGCAUGGAAACCAACAGCAGAUGUGUGAUAUUUGGGUGUCUGUGGAGGCCUCUGAGAAGAGUCUGGAGACUCUUGCGCUGCUGUGGACCUGAUCAACCUGAAAUAAAACUUUCAGUGGAAGAAACGACACCACUAUUCAAUGGUCAAAGCUCUGUCCGUUCCUGGUGAUCUCAAGAGGUUUUCUUCACUGAGGUGAGAAGACCACAUAUACAAGAUUUUCAGCGACUGACCCUUCACUCUAAACAUCUGGACACCUCACUUUUGCCAAACUGACAAAAACGGUGUACCCUUCUGGGUCAGCUUAAAUGUUCAGAACACUUUUGUGAAGCUAAGCUGGUAUAGGUCAUCAUCAGCCUGUGGAGCUGAACUGUUACAAUGCACUGUAUUUCAAAUUAUGCUGCGCUUUAUGCAUUUGUACCUGUACAGAGCACAUUCUGGGCUUUUCAGAGAUACCAAGUUUGGAGGUUUCACCAUGACCAAACCUCUCCUAGGUUUUCAAAAAUGUCUGAUUAAUUUAGUGAAACGCUAACCAUGACCUGACUAAUCUGACUAAUUUUUUAACUGUGUGUGUCAUAAAUCAACAUCUCAGGAAAAGUUAUGGGGUUUCAAAUCUAAAUAUGACUGUUACGAAACAGGAUGUUGAUUUCAUGUCUUCAUAUGAGGACACGGAGACUAACAGCUUGUUUAUUAUGCAUUUUGGGAGACAUAAAUGAAUAAGGAAAAUAAUUCAUAUUUCAAUAUUAUAUGAAAUAUUAUAUAUUAUGAAAAUAUUGUCAAUUAUUACUCCCAUUAUUACACUUAUUUUUUCAUUACAUGUUGCCCCCAAAACACAUUAAUAUGCAAAUAAUUUAGUUUAUAAAUAAAUUAUGUAGAAUGAGAAAACAAAAAGCAAUUUUACACACAUUUUGCAAAAAGAAAAAUGGUAUAAUAUAACUUUCAAAUUAUCUUUAUACAAAAUUUGGUAAAAACAAAUCCUGAAAACUAAAACUAUAUUGGUGAUUUAAAAAAAUAAUCAAUUGUUUUUGCCCAUUUAGGUACAUUCUUCUUUUUUUUUGUGAGCUUCCUAAAAUGUUUUGCUGGGUCUCAAGAGGUUAUAAAAUAAAGCCCUCUCUGUGGUGGUAAAACAAACAGUUUUGGGGCACAUUCUGCUAAUGUACACGCCUAUAUUAAAAACCUGUCCAGUGAGGUUUUGGGGAAAUCCCUUAAGGCCAGAAGGUUAGUGGCAAACCAAAUCGGCAACAAAGGAACUGGCAGUGAUAUGUCACUGUAUACAUCUCAUGUUACACUUUAUUAAUUAUUACACUCUUAAAAAUAAAGGUGCUUAAAAAGGUUCUUCGCAAUGCCAAAAAUUAAGAACCAUUUUAGUUCCAGAAAGAACCAUUCAAUCUCUAAAGAACCAUCUCUUUCUUACUUUUUUAAAUCUUUUUUAUAAAGAACCUUCUUUCACCAUAAAGAACAUUUUGUGAAACAGAAAGGUUCUUCAGAUGUUGAAGGUUCUUAAUGAAACCAUUUAGACAAAAAGGUUCUUCUAACCCAUGGCAUAGUGACACACCUCUAUUUUUAAGAAAAUACUUGUGGGUUGAUUUAAUAGAACAGUGAUUGCUUUGUUUUUGAUUUAGCCCCAAAACUGAAUAGCAAUUGUGUGGUGAAACUCCCCUUCAUGGCUGACUGAAAUGUGUCCUUUCACUUUGUCAUCUGGUGAAAGCUAAACACUUGUCUUACAGCGAAUUUCUCAACUCUUGCCCUCAAGAGCCACUGCUGAAACUCACCUGCUUGUAACUUUCUAGUGAUCCUGAAUACCUUGUUUCUGUGAUUUGCAUCAUGUGAUUUAUCACACAGCCUCAGUGUUAAAUGCUUUGAACAAAUAAAGUUUAAUGCUCUAAAUA